UUAUGGUGGGCACUCUAAGGAGACUGCCGGUGACAAACCGGAGGAAGGUGGGGAUGACGUCAAGUCAUCAUGGCCCUUACGGCCUGGGCUACACACGUGCUACAAUGGUCGGUACAGAGGGUUGCCAAGCCGCGAGGUGGAGCUAAUCUCACAAAACCGAUCGUAGUCCGGAUCGCAGUCUGCAACUCGACUGCGUGAAGUCGGAAUCGCUAGUAAUCGCGAAUCAGAAUGUCGCGGUGAAUACGUUCCCGGGCCUUGUACACACCGCCCGUCACACCAUGGGAGUGGGUUGCACCAGAAGUAGCUAGUCUAACCUUCGGGAGGACGGUUACCACGGUGUGAUUCAUGACUGGGGUGAAGUCGUAACAAGGUAGCCGUAGGGGAACCUGCGGCUGGAUCACCUCCUUAA
rnacentral:rRNA from 1 species